UCUCACACUGCCCCCCUAUAGUUUAAAAUGUGUCAAUUUGCUCCCCUGUGGUUUCUUUUUUCUCUUUUUUUUAUCAAUUUCAUUAUUUUUUUUCUUAAAUAAGUGAUAAAGUUAAAAUUAAAGGGUACUAAAGUGAAUAUUUGAUAAAUCGAGAUGGGUAUAUGAAGUUUUUUGUAUAUAAUUUAAUGAAAUAUUAAUGAAAAAGCUAUCGAAAAGAUAAAAACGAAACCACAUGGGGGCAAUUUGAUACAUUUGAAACCACAGGGGGGCAAAGUGAGAAACUACGAAACCACAUGGGGAUUUUCGAAGUUUUCCCCUUUUAUUAAUAUAUUUUUUUACAAGUAUUUUUAUUUAUUUUUAUACAAGUAUAUAGAAUUGAGCUCCUAUAUUUUUGAAAGUACCAAAUCAUUGGUGCUUGUAAAUUUUCGGCCAUUAGAUAAAGGAAUGUGCAGUUAGGAUGAUAGUGGUUCCGUACGGUUAAGUGGGUAGUUGGUUGAAUAGUAUAAUCUAAUGAAUGAAAAUUAAUCAAAGAAAUAAAUCUAACGGAAAAAAAAAUGACAAGUAUCAAGUGUUUGAUGCUUUUAAAAGCACCAUAACCGAACUCCAAGUAUAUAUAUAUAUUUAUUACUUACUUAAUUUAUUAUUUAUUUAUAACUAUUUAUUUAUCUAUAGAUAUUUAUUAUUAUUAUUAUUAUUAUUAUUAAUUAGUGGAUGAUUCAAUGUCUCUCGU
rnacentral:lncRNA from 1 species